CAUGAGAGAAUAGAAGAUUACCAUUGCUAGAUAUGGAUAUUGUUCCCAAAAUGGCACAUGAAAUAAGAGUUAGAGAAGCCACGUUCUAUAUCGAGAAAUGCAGAUCAUUUACAGUCUCCAAAGCUAAGAGUUACUGGAAGAUGAUUCAGCAGAGAUUUCCUUACAUUCAGGGCUACAGGCAAUUCAGAUGAACAAGGAAAAACAGCUGACAGGAUACAGGUGUUGCAAGACUACAACAUGCAGAAGAAUUGCACCAAGGAGCAACUCUGGUGCAACUGGCAAUUUCAGAAUAUAUAAUGUUCCUUACAGUAGAUACCAAGCUAUGAAUGCCUUACAUCUAAUUGCUUG